AAACUGGCCCCUGUCUGACAUGGGGCAGCUGCUGGGCUCUUCCAGACAGAAUCACAGCAGCCCCCCCUACCAAAACCUUGCCAUGUAAACCCAAUACAGUACCGAUCGGGUAUGCGAUUCCUUUAAGCUUUUAGCUGAAGUAGGGAUUUAACGCUUUUUAGAUGGCAGUAUUUGCUAUUUGGUAGUUAACUGAAUGGAUUUGUCUCUGGUUUAUUAUGGUGAGAACUCACUUAUCUAAAACUAAUUUCUUGAGAAAUUGAUUGCAAAGCAGCAGUUCUCAGCAGCCAUUAGCAAUCAGCAGUGAUUCAGGAAGUACUCAGUGACCUUUUAAGCUGCAGAAGCUGCUCUUCUUGCUCAGCAAUAGAUUUAGUGGUUUCAGAUGCAUUCCAGUUACUGUUCUUUUUGUUUGGUCGGUGAAGGUGGUCUCCUAUGCUCCUUGCCGCUGCAAGGGAAGCUCCCAGCAGUGGGAUGUGGCUCACAGGUGCAGGAUCUUAAGGGUUUUUCUUCUCUCUUAAAGAUGCUCUUAUACCUGCAAUGCACAGGAAGUAAUAAAUAAAACCAGUCCAGACUGGAGUACCAUGGCUGCUUCCUUCAGACUCACAAAACCAGACGUCUCAUUGUCAGUGGGGAUUACAGCCCAAGUACCACGGCAUUGUUUCUCAUUCUGCCCCAUGAAAUCGGGGAAACUUCCUUGUCCUGAGGCUAAAAAUCUUCUCUGAUGUCUCCUGUAGUUUGGUGCAAAGGCUUCAGCAAGCAUCAGUUAACUGAUGAGCCGCCUGGCCAGUUUGCUUGCUGAUCAGCAGACACCCCUGGUCUCACAAAGGCUCAUUUUCUGUGCCAGACUCCAGACGUAUGAUUCCUCUCUUCAAAGAGGUCUGCUCACUUGCAGGGCUACAGCUCUGUAAUUAAUCCGUUGCAAAGGAGUAUGGUGAAAUUACAAGCCAAGCAAGAUGAACUGAUUGAGUCUUCUGUGUCUGUGUUCCUUUGUUUUCCUGUUCCUUAGUUCAGAAAUUCAUCCAGGACCAAAUAUCACAACUUCAGGUGAAACAGGAGAGGAGAAUUUAAGAAAGCAAGCAGUGAAAUGUAAAACCAUAGGGUUUUCUUUGUGAAUAGCGAAUUUAAAUUUUUAUUCUUAACUCUCAAGUAACAGAGACUCAGUUGUAUGUCUUCUCACGUAUUGCCCAAGGCACCACUGUGGUAUGAGUUUGGAUUGCAAGAUGGGCGAAGUGCCCUGUCCAGAGUUACCCACCCUGGUGACUGCUGGUCACCUCCCCAGGGGCCGGGGAAGCGAGACCCACGUUGCCCGCGAGGUGUCAGGAGGUGUUUCUGUAGCUCUGCUUCCCAGGGCAGAAGGCCACGAGGCGUAAUUCGGUCCAGGAGGCUCCAGCAGCUCUCUAAAUCCCGGGGCUGGUGCUUCCCUGGGCUGCUGGCAGAGCGGGGUGCAGGCAGGGGAGCUCGCCCCAGUGCUGCUCUGCGGCGCGCGCAGGUGCCUCCGGUUCCUGCAGUGCUUUGCUGGCAUCCUCAGAGUGAGAGAUGCGUGUCUGCUCCUGCCUCAACGCUUCUCCUUUUUACUAGGGACUCUAAGUUGUCAUCCUGAGUAUUAGACCUGUAUUUAUUGGAUGCCUGCGUGCACAGCGACGGAAGCACAAGGAUGGGUUGCCUGUAAGAGGAGACGUUUCCCGAACAGGACGAGGCGCUCCUUGAAGGUUUCUUAAUGAACUUACCUUUUUUUUUUUUUUCAGUAAGUGUUUAUUUCUUUGGUGUCCACUCUGGGGUGGACAAAGCCACCUGUCCGUUGGUAGAGCAUCUAUGGCUGAUUUGUUUCUGUUUGUUGUAAUUAGAAGUGUAUUUGACAAGUACUUUGAGACCUGUUUAAACAUUAUUUGUUUAAAGCAAUAGAAUUUCUUAACCAAAUACCAGAUUGAUUUAUCACUGUGAGAUUUACCAUCCUCUUUAAAUAUUUACAGUUAAAUGGAUUGUGUUUAGAUUACCUGCACCUAUACAGAAAAGCAGUUUUGUCCCAUCAGGACACUUCCUAAGUGACUUUUAUGCUUACAAGUCAGUUAGCGCUGUGUCAGUCAGCGUAGUUUUCUCGGUCCAUGUGACAAACACCUGUUAAAUAAGCUGUAGCUUUUUUAAACAAUACCUAGGAAGAUAAAAACCCAGGGGGUGUGGUUGGUGUUAAGACAUCCUAUUGUCCUCAAAAUCAGCAAAUCUUUAAAAGGUGUAAGGUUCUUUACCUAGUUAUGUUGUGAGUCCACUAGCAAACAGAAAGGUGUUCAAGUACUGGAGGAAAGACCCGGUCUUGAUACAAAGACAAGAAUGAUAAGUGCCUUCAGGGAAAUGUAGAAGACAGCUUGGUUUUUAAAGGAGGUGCGCGUUUUGUAUUUGGUUUUAUGCUGUUGUACCUCAAGCAGCUGCAGCCUGAGUUUUUCUUCUUUCCUGUGUUGUCUGAAAACAUCUGCUUCUGCACGUGGCAGGCUGCAUCGCAGAUCUGAUUAGUUCCCACAGAGGAAUCAAAAAAUUAGUAAUUCCCAUGUGUAGUUUUUUAUGAUACUUCAAUUUCAGUAUUAAUAACUGGUGUGGAAUUCAGUAAGAAUGUAGAUUUCUUUUGUUUUAUCAAUGCUAAUGUAAGUUGCCUAAAAAUUGCUGUUUUUCCUAUAAUCCAACCAGGUUUUAUUCCCAAAGUAAAACUUUGUGAAACUUUCAGUUUAAAAAUUGAGGCUUUGAAUUCGUGUCAUUCACAGUGGGACACUUGUUCAAGAAAGUUCAGGUUACUCUUACAUUUUUACUAUUGCAUAGCUUCUUACCUUGCUUCUUUAAAACAUAAAACACGGCAGUGCUGCAAACCCAACGCGGCGUAUUAUCAUCCUGCAGUCACCUGCACGCCUACUGUGGGCUUUGGCAAAACGGUGUCUGUUCUUCCUCCUUGCCUCCCACAAAUAAAAAGAAAAAAAGCACAGAAACCGGUGUCCCUGGUGCCGGUUGCUCACCCCGCAGUGUUUGUACCCGUGGUGCUCUUGGCGCUGCUCGAGACACUUGCUACACGGUCGGCUUCUGCCACGGGGCAUUAGACAGGCUAAAUAGCUGGAACAGCAGAAAGUCCUGGUACGGCGAGAUAAAAGCAAGAAAAGGGAGUGUUCAGGGGUGAUCCUGUGCUGCAGGGGCACCCCACCGGUGCCCCCGAGUGCCCUGCACCAGCCCAAGCCUGGCGGGUGCAUGGGGCGAGGCUGCCAGCCAUGGCUGAAGGAACCGAUCCGUGCGCCUCGUGCAGGAACCAGAGGUGAUGUUAAACGUGAAAAACGCCACCUCUUUUGUUUGACGUAGGUCUUUGGAGAAGGAGAAGAACACCUCCCUGUUCUUUGCCCCACGCUGUGCACCGGAGCCUGGGGUCUGUCUGCGCGCAGAAACCAGCUGCACUAACUGCGGGCAGCUCUUCUGCACUGGACCUGUGCUGGAAUAAGUCACGUUCCUCUGGGAUAGUUAAUGCCUUGGCAAAGCAGAGUUGUUAGAAAGGCAGUAAGCAGAAGAGGUGUUCUGGCACAAAAUAUCUGAUCUGGAGCAGUUUUUGUUCGAGCACUAGUUCUGCCAGCUGGCUCAUGCUGGCCAGCCCUGAGAGCCUGACAGCGACUACAGGUACGCGCCUUCUGUACGCGGGGGAGCUCGCAGGGUCCGACACCCGUGGCAGCGUGUGGAAGCCGUGCCCGUGACGUUGAUCAAACCAAGCGUGAUCCCCGCACCUUGGGCGUUUCGCGGGGCUACGCCAGUGCGCGUGAGCUGAGUGUUGGCAGUCUUGUGAUUCACGUGCGUGUGGCUGAGAGCGGCCAGGCUCACGCUUUUGGAGGCAGGUGAGGUUGUAGUGAAGUAGACGUGGUUACUGCGAUUCUGAAUGCAUCUUCUCAUGUUGUGCUGGCACUUGGAAGGAAACAGCGUGUGCAGCCGUCCCAUCCCGCCUGGCAUGCCACCAGCCCCCCACGGCAGCGCUUCCAGCAGACCCCAACGGAGCCCCUCCAAGGAUUUUACUAAAAUGCAAUUUAAGCUAUUUGGAAACUAUAAUCAUUCAUCUGCUAAAUUCCAGGCACUUCUGUUAGCAAUUUUGGGAAUAUGGGUGGGUUUGUUUUUUUGGUGUGGUUUGGUGGCAGGGGGGUAGCAUUGUGCACAGCAAACCAAUGUGCGUUCUGGAAAGGGACUUGGUGAAGUGCUUGUCGGGGAAACCCCGCUUAGUUGCAACAAUAGCUAAUGAAUAUGCUUUAUGCUGUUCAUUUGUGACUAGGUUAAUGGUACUGAGAACUCCAUUUGUGGAAAAAUAAUUGGCAGUUCGUGGUAAAUACUGUUUUUUGUGAACGUCGGUACAAAAUGUAACAGCUGUACUUUCGUCCUUUCUCCCCCUCCUGAAGUCCAUAUGGAAAGUGCACGUGUCUGCAGCCUGCCUGGUCUGCGAGGCGAUGGGUUGAAUCCGACCACGGGUUGGAUCUAAAAUAUCCCAAGAGCUGUCACAGAGUAGGAGAGUGCACAAACUGGGGUAAAGUAAUCAAGUUUCAGAUGAUCUAGAUUUUUAUUUAGCAUUCUUUGAAUCACUUGGAGGCAGGGGCCAGGAUGUCCAUCCGAGCUGGUGGCCCUGGCCCUGCUUGCAGUUGAUGGGAAGAGGCAGCCAAACUGCUCGUCGUUACCCACACACUUCUUCCCAGGAGUGAAGACUCUAUUCUUCUGGUGAACCUGCAUUCUUACAGAGCUGUAGGAAGCAAACAGGCAACAUUUACAUCUAAGCUGAGUUUUCCUUAUUGUUUCCUUAUCUGCUUGUCUUCAGUGAAAGCUGCCGAAGAGGAAGGAUGUUUGCCAAGCGGCUGCGUGGUGUAGCUGGCAGCUGUUGGCACUGGAAGCAGGAGGAGGCUGUGAGUCAGUGCGGGCUGGGUUUGGUCGGUGUCUCACGGGGCUACACCUAGCACCCCAGGCUAAGGCAAGCUGGAGCUGCCCGGCUGGGAAGGCAGUUGUGCUGCAGCUGGCUGGGCAGAGCAGGCAGUGGGAACGGUGAGGGAAACCUGCAAAGGAGAGGAGAGCUUGAGUAUUGUGGGAGGACAGAAGACGAGUCACCUGAACGAGUCGCCCUAGCAGUCUUCUCAAAACAUGAAAUAAGAGGGAUUUGAAAUGAUGCAUGUGCAGCAACUUGCCAGAAGCUGCUUAGGAAGAGGAUGUUGUGAUAAUCCAUCCGGAAUGGGAAAUGGGGCCAAUAUGAGUCUUGUUUAUUUCUUUAGUGUUGAAUUUACAAGUGAGUGUUUUCAGAGAAUGACCAAACUCUUCUGUGGCGCAUUAGGUGAUGCACUAGGUGACAGGGAGGGUGGGGAAGGUGCUUGGAUGGCCUCCUGGCCGCCCCGGGGGGCUCCCAGAGAAGCCUUGUCCAUGACCCGCGUCGGCCGGGUGCAGGGCUGCUGGCGCGCAGCCACAUCCCACGGUUCCCUUCGCCUUCGAGUAGAAUGGUUCAGUUGGAACGAGGACAUUAUUCCUUUUCUUUCUUACAUUUGUGCACCUACAGAGGUCGGUGUGCUGUUUGUGUGUUUAAGCAAAUUAAAGCUAUUAAUGCUGCAAUCAAGUGCUGGUGGGCUGGGCAGAGCAAUAGCUACCAUGCAUUGCUGUUUAUUGAUUAAGCACUUCAAGUGACAGGUGGCACUGAUUACUUUCCAGCAAUAGAUUAACUAAUGAAUUCCAAAGGGAAAUUUCACUCUUACUUAAAAAAUUGUCCUAAGGCAAAAGGUUAUACACAUCUCCAUAAGCUGUAUCGGUAUUGCUAAGCCAAGAUUUUUAUUUAAUCCAUUUCUGCUGAAACUCCGUUAAUCUUCUGACAAAUGGGAGGUGAUUUUUCCUUAGCUUCAAGUAUUGCAGGCUAAAAUGAGAGCAGUAAAAAGGAAAAAACCGAGCAGCACAAGCUGAGAUGUGUCGUUUUGUCCAUGAUCUGUGCCUGUGCCCCUGGGCACCUCCUGCUCCCAGCCCCAGCCUGAGCCCCAGCCAGCGCUGCCUCGCCUGCUGCUUCUUCGUGCCCGCUGCCGUCAGUCCAGCUUCAGGAUCACGUGCUGUUCAUCACCCCUCUGAAGUUUAAUGCAACCUAAACAGUUGGUCAGGAAGAACAAAAUGGAGCAAAGCGGCAUAAGGUUACACAGAGGUGACCUGAGCAAUGUAGGUACCGUAAUUCAAUGAGGUGCUGCUGCUGCUGCUGCCACGGCCGAGCUGGGGUGAUUAGCUGUGUUCGCCCCAAGCCUCUUGCAGAGACAGGAUCGAGGUGGUAGCUUAAAUUUCCUUCACUGGAAAUUCGUAAGUGGUUCGUGUCUCGUGUGCGGCAGGCUGGGAACAUGACUGCUUGCAAGCGCCAGUUUCCGGGUGGUGGUGCAGGCACUUUUCUUCAGCAGUCCACACCCAGAAAGAAAAACACCAGCUGAGGACAGAUAAUGGGAGGGCCGUACAGGAGAAUGCUCUGAGGUAUCCAUCUAUUUCAGCGAGAGGCUCUGGUCGGCGAUACCUGAGAACCAGUGAUGCAGAUGGGCCAUCCUUCGUAUCGCCAGUCUGCGGCGCCGGGGACUCCCUCGGCUUUCUCAUUUUUCUCCAGGGCAGCAUCUCCAGUCAUGGCUUCGCUUUUUAGUAAAACCACAGGAGGAUGUGCUGCAUCACCCGGGGGUUGCAUGACCAUCAUAUGUUAAGUGGACGACAUCUAUUAGAUAGAGCGGGGGAGGCCUAUUUGUAUCGUGAGCCAGCACUCUUACUGCUUGCUGCGUGAAUGCUCUGCGCGUUUCUGGUCCCUCCUCUGCCUGUGUCCGUAGCGGUACUGCCAAGGCAAUGGCCCGAGCUUGCAAGCUGGUUUUUUUUUUGGUGCAUCGUCUCCUCUUAAAAUGCAUUUAUAGAAAGAAGUUAAACUAAUCAAAGAUUUUUGCGUCAUGUUUGCAUUUUUUUCCUGUGUUCUUCAGGCGAUCUAUCUGCUCCGGAAGCUCUCAGUGUUUACAUGCAGAAUAUCCGUUAUGUCACACCAGCUGAUCUCUGUAAACCCAGGACUGCAUGGACAAGAACUAACGUGGAAUGCUGUCUUCUAGACGUGAAGUCCUGUAGAGAUGACAGAUCUAUCAGAACCCAGAAUGCCACGUGAUGGCAUGAUUUGACGUGUCAUUCGCGUCGUCUCCUGGAGCUCUCUUUGUGGUUCAGGCCUUUUUUGAGCCCCCCCACCCUGCCUGCGCCCCGCAGCCGCUGCGUCCCCCCGGGUGCUGCACCCAGUUGCACGCGGCGUCCCCGCAGCCAUCCUCUCCAGUCCCCGGCUUAGUCCUCAGCCCGAGGCUGCGCCCGCCUUCACACGACGCUUAUCUAAGGCCUUUGCCUAGGAGUGACUCAUCUUGGCCUGAUGUUUUCUUCGGUGCAUGUUUGUAUAUGUUUGUGUUCCUCAUGGUCCUGGAAUUUUUUGUCUAUGGCUUGCAACCAAAAUGUGGAGGAAUCCCUGUAUCAUUUACAUCACAGCUUCAGGAUGUGAAAAGGAAAACAUUGACCUAACGUGCCUUCUGUGCUUGAUAUUCUUCCAGUCCCUGCUACCAUCCUCUCUUUGCUAGCAAAUCCCAGGUACAUCAUUUAUUGGAGAUGUGUGGGGGACUGUGCGAGUAUUCCAUCCCUGCCCCAUCCCGAAUUCGGUCAGAUCCAGCUGUGUGUUUCUCCCAGUUAAAGCUCUCAACAUCCUCCUCUUCUGCUUCUUCAUCAUCUCUUGCAUACCUGCAGUGUUUGUUUUCUUUGUCUCUUUCAUGCCCUGUUGUUUCUGGAUCAUGUGUCUUGACCUAAAGUAGAGGUUUACUGGGAAUGAUGUAGGCGUGAGUUAAAGCAAAUGUCUUGUGUACUGGUACCUGAUUUCACUAGGGCGUAAAGAGAUUUUGGGGUAUAAUAAAUAUUGUUCUUGCCUCAGGUUUGAGAUUCCUCAUCGCUCUAAAUGGCAAGUAAUUUUUAUAAAAACUUUUUAUUAAAGGUUUUGACAGGA